UACGGAGGGUGCAAGCGUUAUCCGGAUUCACUGGGUUUAAAGGGUGCGUAGGUGGGCAGGUAAGUCAGUGGUGAAAUCUCCGGGCUUAACUCGGAAACUGCCGUUGAUACUAUCUGUCUUGAAUAUCGUGGAGGUUAGCGGAAUAUGUCAUGUAGCGGUGAAAUGCUUAGAUAUGACAUAGAACACCCAUUGCGAAGGCAGCUAACUACACGAUCAUUGACACUGAGGCACGAAAGCGUGGGGAGCAAACGGG
rnacentral:rRNA from 1 species